rnacentral:rRNA from 1 species
UACGUAGGGUGCAAGCGUUGUCCGGAAUUAUUGGGCGUAAAGAGCUCGUAGGCGGUCUGUCGCGUCUGCUGUGAAAACUCAGGGCUUAACCCUGAGCUUGCAGUGGGUACGGGCAGACUAGAGUGCGGUAGGGGAGACUGGAAUUCCUGGUGUAGCGGUGAAAUGCGCAGAUAUCGAGGAGGAACACCGGUAGGCGAAGGCGGGUCUCUGGGCGAGUGAACU